ensembl:snoRNA LOC120095448 small nucleolar RNA SNORA17
UCUACCCCUAGAGGCAAUGCAGGUGUGGCUGCUCUGUCACAAGUGCUUCAGUAGGUGGCAAAGAGGAAAGAAGCUAUGUCUGCCCUCAGUGUUUUGACCUAUGAACAUCUGAAUAAUUAGUUGCCUAACAUU